rnacentral:rRNA from 1 species
GUGUCAGCAGCCGCGGUAAGACAGGGGCCUCGAGCGUUAAUCGGAAUCACUGGGCUUAAAGGGUGCGUAGGCGGGCCUGCAAGUGCUCUGUGAAAUCCCCCGGCUCAACCGGGGAACUGCGGGGCAUACUGCGGGCCUUGAGGAAGGUAGGCGCCGAGGGAACAGUAGGUGGAGCGGUGAAAUGCGUAGAUAUCUACUGGAACGCCGAUGGUGAAGACGCUCGGCUGGGCCUUUCCUGACGCUGAGGCACGAAAGCGUGGGGAGCAAACAGGAUUAGAAACCCCUGUAGUCC